GAAAAGUUAAAAAACUCAUCCUAUAGUACCACAUCCACAUCAUAUUUAAGGCAUACUAUGUAUGUAAGUAUAGUGUGUGUGGCUUAUAUUUGGUUGUUGAAAAUGUUAGUUGAAUCUUUUAAAAUUUAUGUGCUAACUCAUUAAGAUUUUUGUAACUAAAUCACCAGUGGAAUAGGAGACAAGCCAAAAUUUCGUGGGUCUAAAUAAUCC
rnacentral:lncRNA from 1 species